GGAGAAAGCACCAGGAGGAGGAAGCACCCUGUGUCACAGGGAGGUACAGGGACACGACUGGGACAUGGCUGCGGGCAGCCGGGAGGAGCUUGUCUCUCAGAUUCACUGGCCUAUCAUGUGGUGAGCAGAGCAAGCCUGAACUUGGUAACAGAGUCACAAGCAUCAGGAUGGGGGUCUGAAACUGACAACCCUGCCCAAGAGAAGACAGCCAAGGAGCAAAGCCUGGGGAGACCCAGCAUUAAAGCCUGAGAAAGAACAAACCCAGGAGGGAAGAUCCACCGCAACUGAGUGGUCCCCUCCCUUGGACCUUGCCGAGAAACUGAGAUGAGCUCCUGGACGGGACUCUCCACUUGCCUUACUGGACUGACAUACACACACCGGCCCACAUUUCAUCCAUCGGUUACAAGGGACCACUUACAAGCCUUCACCAACUGAACUAUCCACGAGCUACUUCCAACUCAUUCGGAUUAUCAAAUACUUCGACCCCACACAAAUCCCCUUGACCCGCAUUCCAGCC